rnacentral:pre_miRNA from 1 species
GAUUUCAACUGAAAAAGUCAUCAAUAACAAAGUUGUAUAACUCAUCAAGAUCAAUAGCUUUUAUUUUGGUCAUUUCUUCAUCCGACAAAGCGAUAGUAAUAUUGUUCACAAAAUUCACAUAUCUCUUAUCUAGUUUUAUAAACUAUAACACAGAUAUAUCAAUUUUGUGAACAAUGUUACUAACACUUUGUCGGAUGAAGAAAUGACCAAAAUAAAAGUUCUAGAUCUUGAUGAGUUAUACAACUUUAUUGUUGAUGACUUUUUUAGUUGAAAUC